rnacentral:rRNA from 1 species
AUACGGAGGGAGCAAGCGUUAUUCGGAAUCACUGGUCGUAAAGGACGCGUAGGCGGGUUUGUAAGUCAGGUGUGAAAUCCUACAGCUCAACUGUAGAACUGCACUUGAAACUACAGACCUAGAGUAUGGAAGGGGCAGAUGGAAUUAGUGGUGUAGGGGUAAAAUCCGUAGAUAUCACUAGGAAUACCGAAAGCGAAGGCGAUCUGCUGGGACAUUACUGACGCUGAGGCGUGAAAGCGUGGGGAGCAAACAGAAUUAGAAACCCUAGUAGUCC